CAUACCCUGCCAUGUGCGUAGGGGAAGACGCAUCUUUUAGCCAACAGCGACAUUAAGGGAAUGCUGCCUAGGUUGUGGCUGACAUGCUCUGAUCAUGAUCGGAGAAGUUAAAAGCAAUCUAUAGCGUGCCCACGUUCAGAGAACGUUCGCAAAAGAGGUCUUUCACACGGCAAAGCGGGGUAUUU
rnacentral:other from 1 species